rnacentral:rRNA from 1 species
UGGGGAAUUUUGGACAAUGGGCGCAAGCCUGAUCCAGCAAUGCCGCGUGCAGGAUGAAGGCCUUCGGGUUGUAAACUGCUUUUGUACGGAACGAAAAAGCUCUCUCUAAUACAGGGGGUGAAUGACGGUACCGUAAGAAUAAGCACCGGCUAACUACGUGCCAGCAGCCGCGGUAAUACGUAGGGUGCAAGCGUUAAUCGGAAUUACUGGGCGUAAAGCGUGCGCAGGCGGUUUUGUAAGACAGAGGUGAAAUCCCCGGGCUCAACCUGGGAACUGCCUUUGUGACUGCAAAGCUUGAGUGCGGCAGAGGGGGAUGGAAUUCCGCGUGCAGCAGUGGAAUGCGUAGAUAUGCGGAGGAACACCGAUGGCGAAGGCAAUCCCCUGGGCCUGCACUGACGCUCAUGCACGAAAGCGUGGGGAGCAAACA